UACGGGGGGAGCAAGCGUUGUUCGGAUUUACUGGGCGUAAAGAGCGCGCAGGCGGUCGUUCAAGUCGAGUGUGAAAGCCCCCGGCUCAACUGGGGAGGGUCACUCGAUACUGAUCGACUUGAAGGCGGGAGAGGGAAGCGGAAUUCCCGGUGUAGUGGUGAAAUGCGUAGAUAUCGGGAGGAACACCAGUGGCGAAGGCGACUUCCUGGCCUGUUCUUGACGCUGAGGCGCGAAAGCUAGGGGAGCAAACGGG
rnacentral:rRNA from 1 species